rnacentral:tmRNA from 1 species
GGGGGCGUAAUGGUUUCGACGGGGGCGUGUAGGCAGGAUAAGCGUGCGGAUGCGCUUAACAUCCAUAAAAUGAGCAACUUAUAAAUUAAACAACAACGAAUCUUACGAAUUAGCAGCCGCUUAAGGCUGCUCGUCCGCGCCGGAAGGGCCACGAGCCGGAUGUCGGGCGUCACUCAGUGGCGGACGUGAGUGCGCAAAGCUUUGAACGCACCAUGCAUAAUGAAGCUACCUGACCCGGAGGCGUGUCGGCUUGCCUUCGGGAAGGGGAAGUGGGUGUAAACCCGCAAUAACCGACUGAGCACGGAGAAGGUUCUGUAUGCAUUCUUUCGGACAGGGGUUCGACUCCCCUCGCCUCCACCA